GACGAACGCUGGCGGCGUGCUUAACACAUGCAAGUCGAACGGAAAGGCCCUGCGUGUGUGUCGUGCUGGGGACGGGAGCGGAACACGUGGACGAGCGUCCCCGCACCUUGGCUUUAGCCUGGGAUACUGGGACUAAUACCGAAUAGGACUACGAGCUUCAGCUGGAGGGGGGGGGAGGGUUUGCUGCGGGGGUUGGGCAUGGGCUCGCGGCUUAUCAGCUUGGGGGUGGGGUCGUGGCUUACCAAGGCGUUGACGGGUAGCCGGCCUGAGAGGGUGACCGGCCACACUGGGACUGAGAUACGGCCCAGACUCCUACGGGAGGCAGCAGUGGGGAAUAUUGCACAAUGGGCGCAAGCCUGAUGCAGCAACGCCGCGUGCGGGAUGACGGCCUUCGGGUUGUAAACCUCUUUCGCUUGGGACGAAGCGUGAGUGACGGUACCUAUUGAAGAAGCACCGGCUAACUACGUG
rnacentral:rRNA from 1 species